GUCAGGAUGGCCGAGCGGUCUAAGGCGCCAGACUCAAGGGUUCACUCCUUCCAAAGCAAAGGGACUUCUGGUCUCCAGAUGGAGGCGUGGGUUCAAAUCCCACUCCUGACA
rnacentral:tRNA from 1 species